UACAGAGGGGGCAAGCGUUAUUCGGAAUUAUUGGGCGUAAAGGGCGCGUAGGCGGCUUGGCAAGUGGAUGGUGAAAUCCCUCGGCUUAACCGAGGAACUGCCGUCCAAACUGCUUUGCUUGAGACCGGGAGAGGUGAGUGGAAUUCCCAGUGUAGCGGUGAAAUGCGUAGAUAUUGGGAGGAACACCAGUGGCGAAGGCGGCUCACUGGACCGGUACUGACGCUGAGGUGCGAAAGCGUGGGGAGCAAACAGGG
rnacentral:rRNA from 1 species